rnacentral:lncRNA from 1 species
ACUCUGAAUUCCAAUACGAGGGCAGGCAGCUCAGUAGUUAAUAUAAGAAUGAAACCACUAACAUCAAGACUCAAACGACUCCUAGGCAGACUUAAGCCAGCAACAACAAGACUGAUGCUAUUAACUCACAGAACCAAAUCAGUAAGUGUAAGGCUUUGAAGCGGGUAAGUAAAGAAAGGGGAGUGGAAAGGAGAGUUUCAUCUGUAUGCUUGCCCACUUGCUAUGUGGUUUAAGAAUUCAGUUAGAUGAGCAAGAGUCGAUGAACUCUUUAUUUGUGUUGCCAGAGCUAUAGGGGAGAGAUUGGCUGUGGAAUCCUAUUUCCUUUGUGUAGUUACGGGGUUGUUUUGUUUACUGACUUGCUAGUAUGGGUAGGGGUCCCGUUUUGCCCAUCAUGUGUUUAGUUCAGGGGUCGGGGUGCUUAUUCCAUUGGUUUAUUCGCCCCACUGGUCAGAAAGGGAAGCAGUUCAUAGUUGUAAGAGAUUAGCCGGAGUUCACAGAGGAAGUCGAGAGGUCGGGUCUCAUAAGAAAUCAAGUCUAGCUUUUGUUGACAGAGCAGAGGAAAGAAAGAAACUGGAAUGAAAGAGGAGAGUGAUUGUUUGAAGAGCCAGAGGGGGCAGGUUAGCUAGUCAAUUGAAUAGAGGGCAGGUUAGCUAGUCAAUUUCAUUCCACUCCUAUGUCGGUAAAGUAUCGGCUUUGUUGCGAGGGAGAGAAAACGGAGCGAGUGGGGGAUGCUGUUGAAAGAGAGGAGACAAGCCCGGUAUUCGACCCUAAAGAAAGGAAUCAUGCCAUAACUGUAUUUGUAACCAGAGGAGAGAGAGUCAAGCUAGUCCAGAGUAGAGGUAUGAUAGUUCCCAGCUGUAUUCUUUAUUGAUUGCCCCUUGGUUUAGUCUUGAUAGUAGUUGCCUUAACCCUGUAGUUACUAAUUGCAGAAAUGAGAAUAAGGUUCUUCACUGUUUGGUUCUUACAAGCACUGGUGUCAGCCUGAGUCAAGUAGGAGGUCAGUCUGGUUGUCAGUGGUUAGGUUCCGAUACUGCUUAGUCCCAUUCUGUAAUUGAUUAGGUUCAGUCUGGUUGGUGCACAGUUUGAUUCUUCUUAGUAGUGGUAGAUAGGUCAGGUGUUUGACUUGAAGUGGAAUCCCCAGUUGCAUCAGUGAGAGUUGCCAGAGAGGAGGAGAGAGGUAAAGUUGAAAGUUACGUUCUUGACCCAACAGGUAGUGGAGUAGUCGCGCCCAGAAGCAAUACAAGUAUACGAGUAGUUAGCUCUUUGAACUGUUGUAGUUGCCCUUAUAUUAAGUCGUUAGAUUAGCAAGAUCAGAGGAAUCGGCGGGAUCAGUAUCAAUAUAAGUAGUUGAUUGUCGGCUUGGCUGCUACUUUAGAGUUCAAUUAAGUAUCUGUUGCCAGCAGGGUUCAAUGAUUUGUUCUUCAAGUUUAGAGGCAAGGUCAGCAGUUCCGUCAGAAGGGGAGGUCGGGGACUUAUUAGAGGUUAAGGGUUUACAAGGGAAGAAAUAGAGGAAUGAGCGAGAUCAGGUACGAGCGGGAAGAAUAGAGAGGCAAGGUAAGUAGUGAAGUAUGCAGGAGAGAGACUCCAGUUAUGAGUAAGCCCGCAUCUAGUACAUAAGACUAAGAUCUAGCUUGUUGGGGUGGUAGAGAGUUCGGUUCGGGGUUAACACUUAUAAGAGAAGUUAUUGUUUCGGGUCGGAAUACAGAUGCUGAAUUCACUGUUCUGGUUUCAUCAUAUCUUAGAGAAUUGUCAAAUGAAUCAAUUUGGAAAAGAACAAAAAAAGUAGAAGAUUACUCAUAUUUAUCAUGUACCAACACCGUAGAAAAUAGUAAAGGAAAAGCCAUAUCAAUUCUAUCUCUUCUUAUAUAGGUGAACGGAGUCAACUCUUCAUUCCAAUACGAGGGUAGGGUCGGCUGGUUUACUGACUUU